rnacentral:rRNA from 1 species
AACGAACGCUGGCGGCAUGCCUAACACAUGCAAGUCGAACGAGACCUUCGGGUCUAGUGGCGCACGGGUGCGUAACGCGUGGGAAUCUGCCCUUGGGUUCGGAAUAAACUUCGGGAAACUGAAGCUAAUACCGGAUGAUGACGUAAGUCCAAAGAUUUAUCGCCCAAGGAUGAGCCCGCGUAGGAUUAGCUAGUUGGUGAGGUAAAGGCUCACCAAGGCGACGAUCCUUAGCUGGUCUGAGAGGAUGAUCAGCCACACUGGGACUGAGACACGGCCCAGACUCCUACGGGAGGCAGCAGUGGGGAAUAUUGGACAAUGGGCGAAAGCCUGAUCCAGCAAUGCCGCGUGAGUGAUGAAGGCCUUAGGGUUGUAAAGCUCUUUUACCCGGGUAUGAUAAUGACAGUACCGGGAGAAUAAGCUCCGGCUAACUCCGUGCCAGCAGCCGCGGUAAUGUGACU